UGGGGAAUAUUGGACAAUGGGCGCAAGCCUGAUCCAGCCAUGCCGCGUGAGUGAAGAAGGCCUUAGGGUUGUAAAACUCUUUCAUCGGUGAAGAUAAUGACGGUAGCCGAAGAAGAAGCCCCGGCUAACUCCGUGCCAGCAGCCGCGGUAAUACGGAGGGGGCUAGCGUUGUUCGGAAUUACUGGGCGUAAAGCGCGCGUAGGCGGUUUGUUAAGUUGGGCGUGAAAGCCCGGGGCUCAACCCCGGAACUGCGUUCGAAACUGGCAGGCUAGAGUUCGGGAGAGGGUGGUGGAAUUUCCAGUGUAGAGGUGAAAUUCGUAGAUAUUGGAAAGAACACCAGUGGCGAAGGCGACCACCUGGACCGAUACUGACGCUGAGGUGCGAAAGCGUGGGGAGCAAACAGG
rnacentral:rRNA from 1 species